rnacentral:misc_RNA from 1 species
GCGGUGGGUUAUAUUCCAAAGAAGAAUCGAAUCCACUACUCUGGACCUUUGAUGCCACCUGGUGGAAACAUUGACGAAAUGCUGAAAGAGCAUGAGAAACAAAUUCAGCAGGCUGUCCGUAAAGCUCGUAUUGACAGAAACAAGAUAAGAAAGGAACACACUGACAAUGGGCAAACAGAAUCUCUCUUACACUAUACAACCAAUGGUCGGUGACUUGUAGAGGAGCAAGAAG